UUCCUUGGGCUUCCCUACAACCAGGCACACCCAGGGAUGUUAGUUUCUUGCUUCCUGUUUGGAUUGCUAAGGUCAGCCUUGGAGACUUUUGCUGCAAGAACUGCUUUUAAACCCUUGGAAUUUCACUUCAUGACCAGUUCCAGGGGCCUCAAGGCUGCAGCUCAGCCCAGGGGCCCUGCCUUAGCACCUCCUGUGGAUCCUGUGUCUUAGUCCUCUUGCUUUGGCUGCUGGGGGCAGUUCUAGAAGCCUUCUGACAGGAAGUGUCUUCCUUUUGGAAUUUGACAUUUGCUCUGCAGCAUGGCACUUCGGCUGUUAUAUCAUUAAACGUCUCCAAGGCAACAGUAGCUGGGGGCCUGACUGAUAACUUCUUCAUAUCAUGAACAGAAAUAGCGUAAGUCACAUGGUUCCCCCAACCAGUGACAACCAAACUUUAGCAUCCGUCAGAGUGGGUGAUCUGCUAAAACACAGAUUGCAAGGCCAGAGAAUGUGGGUUUCUAACUCCUUCCUCGGCGAUGGGACUGCCACUUACUCAGGAUCACGCUUUGAAAACCACUUCCAUACACAAGACAAUGAUCGUUCUUGAUAUCAGCCCAGCUUCUCCGAGGCAACUCAUGGAGGAGAAUUUGUGAAGAUAUGAGCAACAGCAGAUGCUCACAGGUAGCAAACCCGACAAAUGGACUGAGGGUAAGCGUUCACCCCGUGUGGCUCUGGGAAGGACUUCGGAGAGAUUCUACCACCUCUAAUCUUUCUCACGCCCUGUGUUCCACCCACCCGCAAACACUGUUUGCUCCCCUUGGGAAACUGGCUCACAAUCCACCUGACUCUCAUCAUCUCCACUGCACCAUCCUGGCCAAAGACACCAGCAUCUCCAGCCUGGAUUGUGGCUGUGGUCUCUUAGCACAUCUCUUAACUUCAUUUAGCGCCUCUAGAUUUUCUCCAGAAGUUUCUAGAUGAGCCACCUGUGUGUGAGCUCAGCCAGAAGCCAUCACCUCCCAUCAGGUGGGUCUCAACAAGUCUGAGACCACUAGGUCUCAACAAGUCUGGCUCUCUAAGACCCGUCUGCUGUCAGCCCCCACUGCCCCAGCUUGCCAUUGCCACCACCACCCCCAUUGCUGUGUUUCCACUAGCCUGCUGCUUCAUUUCACACACAAGAACAGUUCCCUUAAGGCCUCCACACCUGCUGUUACUCCCGCUUGGACUAUUUUCCCCCAGAUAUCCACAUGGCUCACUCCCCACUCACUUCAGGUCUGACCUCAGCUAUCCCGUGACAAAGGAGGCCUUCUUUACCACUGGAUCCAACAGAACCACACUGCCACACCUUCUUCCCAGGCAGUCCGUCCAGCUUGCUCCCGAAAUGUUUCUCUAGAACUUGCCGUCACCUGAGUCUCUUUCCUUCCUGACCUUCUCCUCACACUUUAAGGUCAAACCUAACGGGAUGCUUCCUCAUUAUCUGUUGUCUGAACCUUGUACUGAGAAGAGGAUAGAGUGGGACAUAACUGUCCCAGCUGCCUGUGUUCUUUCCGGCUAUGCAUAUUCCCAUAGGUCUCCAGAUUUCAACCGCCAUGGACAGCGGUGGAGGCAGAAGAGAUCCCACGGUCUGGGUAAGUCCCUCCAAAGGGAGGGGAAGGGACUGGAGAGGACAGGGUGACGCAGCUAUACCUGGGCUGAGGCAAGAGGCCGUCUAAGGCAAGUGGGAUCAGAUAACAGCAUCCCGAGCCUCUUCCCCUCCAUCCUUUUCCUGGAGGCUUCAUUUUACCCCACAUCGUACCUAUUGAACUGGGCUGGAAGUGAGUGGCAGCCCAUUAAGGCCUUAGCUCUCAGGUUACCACGCAGUGCCUGGAACAGACACAGAGCCUGGUCCGUGCGUGGUGCGUGCUGUCGCCGGACAAUGUCACUGCUGACCCCCUGUGCUGUGACACACGCUUCACCCUUCCUCCAAGCACAGCUCCCUUCCCCUGCUGUCACUGUCCCGUUUAUCCCCGCCCCUCACGCUUUUCUUGUAGCCCGUGGGAUCUCUACUGCUCUUGCAAGGAUCCGCGGUGAACUGUGACCUUUCUAACGGAAGUUGCGGUCACAACAGGAGAAGCAGCACCACGAGAACUCUGAGUGCCUGCCAUGACACAAGAUCCCAAGUGCCCUUAGAUGGCAAAAUCCACCCAAUGAAAGACAGACGGUGAACACGCUCUAGUGGCCACUGUCCCUCGGAAAGUGCUGUUCUAGCGUAAAACUGAGUUUUCCCUUGAAGACUUGAAAACUUUCGAGUGCCACAAAUGGUUCUCUUUGGACAGAAAUCCUGGGCAAUGGGCCCUCUGACAAAGAGUUCUGUGUCAAUACGGUUCAUCUCAAGUCUUCCUCAUAUCAUUCCGUCACCAGCAGGGACAGGGUCAGCACGACUCACCAACUCUCCAAAAUGCUGUAGUGCAAACAAACAAGAACUGAUACAGAAUUUUCUUUAGAGACUUCUAAGUAGAAGUAGAAAACAGGUGUUAGAGAAAUCAUUUCUUUCUUAUUUAUAACCCACGUGACCUCCUAGAGAGGUGCAGCCAUUUGGUAAGUCACCUUCCUUCUAGGGAAUGUGUCUCCACAGACCUUCCAUAGACAUAUGCGUGCUAGAGGACUAGCCUUUUUAUUCUUUUCAACCCCCGUUCUCUCGCAGGCUUAGCAUCAUGUGGAUGCCACCAAGGUUUGCUGCUGGUUCAUGGUUCUUGGAGGCCAGGAAAUUUAAAAGCAUGGUGCUGGCACUGCUUGGUCUGGUGAGGACCCUCUUGCUGUAUCAUUGCGUAGUGGAGGGCAAGAUGGCAGGGAUACCAGAGGAUGCCUCUCCUCCUCUUUUUAUCAAGCCACAAUUCCAUCAUAGGAGACCAGAACUCCACAAAGAAAGCUUUCAUGGGGUGGGCUGGUGCCUGGGGUCCACCUAAGGUCUUUCUCUGGCAAAACCAUUCAUGAGGCCCAGAUGAAGUAGGUCCAGAUGACGUAAUGGCCACUGCUCAAGGGCAGAGACAGAAAACCUUGGUAAUGUUCACUUGGUAUUAAUGCUGCAUACAUUCAGAAGAUGAGCCAUGUAGCCAAAGGCUCCAUCAAGCAGGGAGGGCCCCAGUAAACAUUUGUGGCAGAAGCAGAGCCACCACGGAGUUCCUGAACAAGGGGAUGCAGAGCAGAGAGGUGAGGUUGCAGUGGCUGCAGAGUCCCCAACCAUGGAAAUGCUUCUUGGAGCCACGGUGGGUAAGAUGGAUCCCAAGACUCUCGGCUAGGUUGUAAGAAAUAUAUUUCUGGGGCUCAGCAGUUAAGAACACUUGCAGCUAUUGAAGAAGACCAGGGUUCGGUUCCCAGCACCCACAUGUCCAUAACUCCAGUUCCAGGAAAUCCAGCCUCUGUGGGCACCAGGCCUGCAGAAAGGACUCAUUAUAGAUGCAGGCAAACACUCACACACAUGAACUAACUAAAUUUCUUUGAAAAAAAUGAAUUUAUUUUCUUUGUAAAUUACCCAAUCUUGGGUAUUCAGCGACAACAAUAGAAAACAGUCUAAUAUAUACACACACAAUGGGAUUAUCUCUACUGUAUGACUUGUUUGAUUUCACAGGCCUGUGGCUGGAGGGUAAUUUGCUUUAGGAUUAGUCUUGCUUAGAGUCUCAUUCAGAAGCGAUUCAGAUAAGACUCUGGACUUUGGACUUUUGAGUUGGUGCCAGAUGAAUUAUGAUUUGUGGGCUAUUGGGAUGGAAUAAGAUUUUAUAUGUGAGAAGGACAGGAAUUUUGGAGACCAAAGGGAAAAUGGUAUAGUCUGAAUGUAUCCCUCAAAAUGUAUGUUUUAGAAAUUAAUCCCAAAAGCAACAAUAUAGGGAAGUGGGCCCUUUGUGAGGCUCCACCCUCAUGAAUGGAUUGAUUGCAGUUAUUAAAAGGGUUUUCAGAGGAAACUAUGUCACUUUUCACCUUUUUUGUCCCUUCUACUAUGUGAGGACAUGGCACUCCUUCCCCAGAGGACAUGGAAAAAAAAAAAAAAAAAAAAAAUGCCACCUUGGAAGCAGACAGCAGUCCUCAUCAGAAGAUGCAACCUGUUGAUGUUUUGAUCUUAGAUUUUUCUAAUCUUACAGCACUAUGGGAAAUACAAUUUCAAUGUUUAUAAAAUUUCCAAACUUGGACAUUUUGUUAUAGUAGUACAAAUAGAUUAAGACUUUCUGUACCUCAUUCCUAAAGAGACACUCAGUUCUGGGUCACGUUAAGUGACUGUCACAAGUCAGAAAGCUGAGACCAGACAACACCAUGCCAGAGAACAUAGACAUUGGUGUGUCGAGGGAAAGGGACACAGCUUGUGAGACAGGGGCUCUGGUUAUAAUUCUUGCCACUGCUGUUAGAUUCCAUCACCUCUAAGGCGCAUGGGUACACAAAAUACAAUCACUCUUGUAUCACUAAGAAACAUCCUUGCUGUCUAUUAAACGAUAUGACCGCCUAAGGCCAGUCCUGCAGGAUAUAAGAAUCAAUCCCACUGGCUUCCCAUUUCUUGAUUAUUUUCAUCUACCCCAGUGGGUUAGGUAAUUUCUCCUGCCUUCAGGUUGGAUACUUGACAUUUAAUAGAUAAUCCUCAAUAGCGAAAAUCUAGCCAUAUGUGCUUGGGGAUUGCCUUUCUUAAAAGCUUGUACUUUGCAAAACAGACUAGAAAGCAAAGCUGAUAUUGCAUCAUUCCUUCACUGACAAAUAUUUACUUCAUCAAUAUCAAAUUUAUGCCCCCUGUUCUAUUUCCUUGACUCUCUGUAUAAACAAUGACUUUUAGUUUGAAUGUCAAACUAUAGGAGAACAUUUUGAAAUUAACUCAUCAGCAAUUAAUCAGCAGUGCAUCCCCUUGAAAGAAAAUUUGAAAACAAAAAAGCUAAAACUACCUACACAUUCGCAGACAAUGACAAAUCCAUUUCAGCUACUGCCUGGCUAGUAGCCAUGUAUCAGAUGCUGCCAGCCAGCACCGUGGUCACAGAUUCAUGCUGGUGAUCAGUCCCCAAGACAGAGCGAGCUUCGCCACUGUCCUUACUUAGCUUUCUGGACAGGGUCAUGUCCAGAAAUGCAGUGUUCACAUUAUCUGUGGUCUUAUAGGAAGGCUCUCGGACUGUCCACGAUUUCAGUUUUGAUUUCCCUUCACCAUGCAUGUACACAGUUGCUACCACCAUUAAUAAAAGGAAUUUGAUGCAUCUAUUGACAUCAAGUUCCUUUAAAUAAUACCCAGAAAACUGAGAAAACUAUGCUUUUUGUGGCAAAAUGUGAGGGCAGGGGAUCAGGGAGAUGGGUGAGAUGUAAAGAGGAAAAUAAUUCUAUAAAUAAAUUUUAGAAAUUUACAGGACUCCUCCAAUAAAAACGGAGUGACUAUAUCUCAUUACUUGUUAUUUAACAGAAACAGUGUACUGUGGUCUGAACUGCAAUGCCCCCAGUUUACUGAAGUCCUAACCCCUAAGUACUUCAGCAGGUGACUACAUUUGGAGGCAGGGUCUUUAAAAAGGAAUUAGUGUUAAAUGGAGUUAUUAGCAUGGGCCUUAAUCCAGUGUGACUGGUGCCUUCGUGAGAAGAGAUCGGAAGGCAGUUAUGCAGAGAGAAGACUAAAGACAAAGCGGGGCAGGGCUGUAUGGAAGCCAGAAGUGAGGUCCUCAGAGAAGCAGUCCUGCUGGGACCUUGAUCUGAAUGUCUGUGAAGGAUCCGAUUUCUCCUUUGUAAGCCUUUGAUACUUUGUUACAUCUGCCCUAACACACUGAUCUAGACCAGAUUGUGUGUUUCCUCCUCCUCCUCCUCCUCCUCCUCCUCCUCCUCCUCCUCCUCCUCCUCCUCCUCUUCCUCCUCCUCCCUCUUCUCCCUCUUCUUUCCUCCUCCUCCUCCUUUUCUUUCUUCCUCUUCCUUCUUCAUCAUCAUAUAGGAAGAUAACACUCUCUAUGCCCAUGUAUCUGAGUAAGUCAAUGCAACUCCUUCUGACCAAAGCACAGAAACAAAAUAGAAGAGCUAAGCUUCGUUCUUGAGCUGAGACAUUUAAAGGCAGUUGUUAAUUUUCUACCAUGACUGACUUCUUCCCUGCCAUGGGACCGCUAAGACCACGUGAUCCAGGUAGUAGAGUUACAAGGUGGCAGAGCUCCCGCCAGCCUGGUUUUCUGAGAGACUGCCUGAAUCAAGCACUCUGUUAACCUACUUUGGACAUAAAAUGUGAGACGCAUUUAUUUAAUUUAAUCCACUGAAAUUGCAUGGUUGAGUUAUAACAACAGCACAGCCACUUCUGACAUACAAAUCUACCUCACAAAAGCCAGGGCACCAGAGUGCUAGGAGUUCAUGUCAUAUCAAGUGAGUCCAUGUUCAAUUAUUAUUUGAGCAAAAUAUUGCCACUGGCACACUAGUGAUGUUUAUAUCUUAGAGGUAACCAACAGCUAUCUCAUUGGACUUAGGGCCUGCUCAGUGAGAGGAAACUCACUCCUGGUACUGCAAACCUAGCCAAGAACACAUGGCAGGAGAAGUCAUAGAUCGCAGAGGACAUACUACUGCCAUUUUCCUAAACUGAUAUAGCCUCCAACAACUGUAUUCUAAAUACUCAUCCUUACAUCCAUAGGUAAGUGCAGUUCUCCUUACCAAAGAAGCUUCUUUUAGCAGCUACUGAGGCUGCUGAAGACACUCGCAACCGGUCAAAAGGCCCCAACUGGGACAUCUACACUGCAAUCCCUACAUCUCCGGCUCAGGGAACAUCCCAGAAGAACUGCAAGAGUUCAAGGCCCUGAGCACCCGAAUGAGUGCCCACCACUACAAGACGGUAUCUUCUAGAUGUGUCAGGGAAACUAUACCCGUGACUCUUAACAAUACGAGUGCUUGCACAAGACCAAACUAGUUGACAUGCCAACGUGGAUGAUGAAAUAUUUAACAAGGCCCUACCACUAGAUGAAGAGCUACAGGCAAUGAAUGACCAUCGAGAGAGGAAGAAUCAGUGUUCUUCGGGGACACACCCCUGACUGGUUUCCACUUUUCCGUGGUCAGCCCUAAAGAAAGUACAUACAGGCAACACGAAUUGGACUCAAUAUAAAUUGUGUGUGUGUGUGCGCGCGCGCGCGCGCGUGUGUGUGUGUGUGUGUGUGUGUGUGUGUGUGUGUGUGUGUGUGUAUGCACAUAUAUGAAGUAGACAAAGAAGUCAUAAAUUCAAGAAGGGUUAGUGGGAACAGAGGAGGAAUUGGAGAAGAGAAAAGUGAUAUAAAUGUAGUACUCAUGUAUGAACUUAUAAAAAAUAGACAAUGAAACUGUCACUUCUGUGUGUAAAAUAUAAUCAUAUACAGACUAUUUCAUUUGUUCAACCUCCAAUUGCAUAUAUUUGCAUAAUCUUAGAGACUUUGGCAACCAAUGAGCCCUACAACCCAUAGGUCAUAGAUAAUACACCUGAGAUCCCUUCAGAUCAAAUGAUUCACCAAAAUCCAAACCACAUCAGCUAAGAACUGAAGCCAAGGUGCCAAGUUUGUCAAGGCAAGUCAAUUAGUCUGUAGUAGGAAGUCUGUAUCUAAUAGUAACCGUGCUUUCUCACAUGUCAAUCCCACCACUAGGAACUGACUUACUAGAAAUAGCUGAAUAGAUACACACAUGAAAAGUCCACAAUGCUAAUAAUAUAUGUGUUUAAGUAAUCCAAGUGCCCAGUGCACUGGGAAUUGAUUUAAUAAAUGAUGGUUCACACCCAACUCAGAUCUAUAUAGUAAUAAAGGAUUCAGUCUUUUCACUGGCGUAAAAUGCUUAUGUCAUUUUGAUAAAAACAAGAAAAUCAAAGAUGAAGAUGUUUUAACUUAAGUGCACUGAGGCAUAUCAAUUGCCUCUACACUUUCUGGCUCCUUUUCUUUUUUAUUCCCUUUUUCAUUGUGCUCGGUUGGAUCUUUGUAACAGAACCCAGCUAGCUGGGCCAGUUCACCCACCCACUAGCUGAGGGAUAUCGGGGGAAAAAAAGCCAAAAAACUUUGGGUCUCUUACCAAGCUAAGUGCGUCCCCUGAGACCCUGCUGAAAGCGUCCAGGACAAUGCACAUAGUGCAGGUACAUAAUCAAUAUUCACAUCCCGUGAUGCUCUGACAACCUGGAGGAGCAAGAUUUCCUGUGGUUUGACUUGUAUUUACUUUGGCUCUUUUAUUUCUAUAAAAAUUCUCUAGUUAAAAAAACCUAUAAAUCAUUCUGUUUAUUUCUCAUCCUGAAAUAAAAUGAAAAAGGCUA